rnacentral:rRNA from 1 species
UACGUAGGGUGCAAGCGUUAAUCGGAAUUACUGGGCGUAAAGCGUGCGCAGGCGGUUUUGUAAGACAGAGGUGAAAUCCCCCGGGCUCAACCUGGGAACUGCCUUUGUGACUGCAAGGCUUGAGUGCGGCAGAGGGGGAUGGAAUUCCGCGUGUAGCAGUGAAAUGCGUAGAUAUGCGGAGGAACACCGAUGGCGAAGGCAAUCCCCUGGGCCUGCACUGACGCUCAUGCACGAAAGCGUGGGAGCG